GGGUAUAUAGUUCAAGUGGUAGAGUGAAUGCUUAGUAGGCACGAGGUCCUGGGUUCAAUUCCCAGUACCUCCU
rnacentral:tRNA from 1 species